rnacentral:rRNA from 1 species
UACGGGGGGGGCAAGCGUUGUUCGGAAUUACUGGGCGUAAAGGGCUCGUAGGUGGCCAACUAAGUCAGACGUGAAAUCCCCAGGCUCAACUUGGGAACUGCGUCUGAUACUGGAUGGCUUGAAUUCGGGAGAGGGAUGCAGAAUUCCAGGUGUAGCGGUGAAAUGCGUAGAUAUCUGGAGGAAUACCGGUGGCGAAGGCGGCAUCCUGGACCGAGAUUGACACUGAGGAGCGAAAGCCAGGGGAGCGAACGGG